rnacentral:rRNA from 1 species
AGAGUUUGAUCCUGGCUCAGGACAAACGCUGGCGGCGUGCGUAACACAUGCAAGUCGUGCGGGCUGGCCUCGGGUCAGUCAGCGGCGGACGGGUGAGUAACACGUGAAUCACCAACCUCCAGUGGGGGAUACCCGGCGGAAACGCUGGUUAAUCCCGCAUACGGUUCAUUACGAACGAAAGCAGCAAUGCGCUGGUGGAC